CCUACGGGAGGCAGCAGUGAGGAAUAUUGGACAAUGGGCGCAAGCCUGAUCCAGCCAUGCCGCGUGCAGGAUGACGGUCCUAUGGAUUGUAAACUGCUUUUAUACGGGAAGAAACCCUGGCUCGUGAGCCAGAUUGACGGUACCGUAAGAAUAAGGAUCGGCUAACUCCGUGCCAGCAGCCGCGGUAAUACGGAGGAUCCAAGCGUUAUCCGGAAUCAUUGGGUUUAAAGGGUCCGUAGGCGGUUUAAUAAGUCAGUGGUGAAAGCCCAUCGCUCAACGGUGGAACGGCCAUUGAUACUGUUAGACUUGAAUUAUUAGGAAGUAACUAGAAUAUGUAGUGUAGCGGUGAAAUGCUUAGAGAUUACAUGGAAUACCAAUUGCGAAGGCAGGUUACUACUAAUUGAUUGACGCUGAUGGACGAAAGCGUGGGUAGCGAACAGGAUUAGAUACCCUGGUAGUCCACGCCGUAAACGAUGGAUACUAGCUGUUGGGAGUAAUCUCAGUGGCUAAGCGAAAGUGAUAAGUAUCCCACCUGGGGAGUACGUUCGCAAGAAUGAAACUUAAAGAGUAGUAGCGNGUGACGNGACGACGACGACGACGACGGAGGAGGAGG
rnacentral:rRNA from 1 species